GAUGAACGCUGGCGGCGUGCCUAAUACAUGCAAGUCGAGCGAACAGAUAAGGAGCUUGCUCCUUUGACGUUAGCGGCGGACGGGUGAGUAACACGUGGGUAACCUAUCUAUAAGACUGGAAUAACUCCGGGAAACCGGGGCUAAUGCCGGAUAACAUGUUGAACCGCAUGGUUCUACAGUGAAAGGCGGCUUUGCUGUCACUUAUAGAUGGACCCGCGCCGUAUUAGCUAGUUGGUGAGGUAACGGCUCACCAAGGCAACGAUACGUAGCCGACCUGAGAGGGUGAUCGGCCACACCGGAACUGAGACACGGUCCAGACUCCUACGGGAGGCAGCAGUAGGGAAUCUUCCGCAAUGGGCGAAAGCCUGACGGAGCAACGCCGCGUGAGUGAUGAAGGUCUUCGGAUCGUAAAACUCUGUUAUUAGGGAAGAACAAAUGCGUAAGUAACUGUGCGCGUCUUGACGGUACCUAAUCAGAAAGCCACGGCUAACUACGUG
rnacentral:rRNA from 1 species